rnacentral:rRNA from 1 species
GAGGGCCUACGGGACGCAGCAGUGGGGAAUAUUGCACAAUGGGGGAAACCCUGAUGCAGCGACGCCGCGUGAGUGAAGAGGUAUUUCGGUAUGUAAAGCUCUAUCAGCAGGGAAGAAGAAAGACGGUACCUGACUAAGAAGCCCCGGCUAACUACGUGCCAGCAGCCGCGGUAAUACGUAGGGGGCAAGCGUUAUCCGGAUUUACUGGGUGUAAAGGGAGCGUAGACGGCAGGGCAAGUCUGGAGUGAAAGCCCGGGGCCCAACCCCGGGACUGCUUUGGAAACUGCCAUGCUAGAGUGCUGGAG